GCCUGAUCCAGCCAUGCCGCGUGUGUGAAGAAGGCCUUCGGGUUGUAAAGCACUUUCAGCGGGGAGGAAGGGUGUUGUGUUAAUAGCACACCAUUUUGACGUUACCCGCAGAAGAAGCACCGGCUAACUCCGUGCCAGCAGCCGCGGUAAUA
rnacentral:rRNA from 1 species